GCUAUUGCACACUUAAUGGACUACAGUGUAGUGUAAACAGUACUUUUAUAUGCACUGAGAAACCAAAAAAUUUGCAUGACUUGCUUUAUUGCAAUAUUCGCUUUAUCACGGUGGCCUGGAACCGAACCUGCAAUAUCUCCAAGAUUGCGAUACUCUUGAACACACAGUGUGUCUCCACCCCUCACCUCCACCUUCCUGGGAGAAAGAGGAAAGGUAUUUAAAAUUUUUACGUGCCUGUCAAUUUUAUUUUCUGAUUCUUCCUACAUAUAUUUCUAGGACAGAAUUCAUUAUCUCUGCUCUGCUGGGCCUUACUUUUUGAAGUCAGAGUAUUACUCAUACGAUUUUUAUGGGCAAGACACAGCAAACCAACAGUUACUUCAAAAUACUCUGUCAAAAUUAAAAGACGUUAAUUCAUUUCCAUUUGAAAGAAAACAAAGUCACAAGCAUAUAUCCUGCCACUUAAAGGAUUCUAGCUAUAUCUGAAAGCUUCAGAAGACCUUAAGAGGUCAUUUUGCUGUGUCCUCUGCCUUCCUUGUUUUUCUUUUUGUUUGACUUUAUCCUUCAGUGUGCCUGUGUGCUUCUAGAACUUACUAAACAUUUUUGUUUAGUUUGGAAUUUGUUUUUCCAAAUUAAUUUGCUUCAACUUUAAAAACCAUUUUUAUCUGAAAUAUUUGUAAUAAGGACAUUAUUUUAAUAAAGGAUACUUGUCAUAUUAUAGUUUUAUAAUUAAAAUGCUAUGCAUAUUAUAUUUCUAUGUGCUGGGGAAAAAUGAGUUAAUAACUACCUUAAACCUGAGCACAAAGUGCCAGAAUUUGGCAUGCAAAAACUCCAGGACAUACAGCUUUAGUUUGCUUUUCUGUUAUUAACAGUCUUUAGUUAAUGAGUCGACGCAUGACUUGUCAUUUUCAGACAAGUCUUGCUUGAAGACAGUAUUAUUUCUUGCCUGACACUCUCAUGAAAUAAAUAUUUGUGAAAAGUUUUAUUGAGACAAUAUUAGAAGUUCUUGAAUUCACAUAACAGAAGAAAGCAGUUCUGUGUGCAUUUACUAACCAAAAAAAAUUAUUUGUAAACUGCUUUUGUAGUUUGCUUUUUUUAACUCUGAAAUAAAUACAUGUUUCUGGAUUUUAAAUUGUUUUUAAAGAAGUGUUUUUGAGGGGGUGAGGACCAUAUUGUCAAUGAAGUUGUAUUAAAAGAGUGGACAACUUUUUUAUUUUAGUGUUAAACAAAGGUGUAGAGUAUGUGCAGUUUAUGAGGGGAAAGAAAAGGCCUAUUGUAUUAGAAAGUUAAAAUGAAGACAUCAGUGAUUUUAAACUUUUUGUGCCAUUUGUUCUAAUUUUAUUAUACAAUUUUAAUUUUUUUUUUUUUUGGGCGCACCACGUGGCAUAUGGGAUCCUAGUUCCCCGACCAGGGGUCGAACCCACGCCCCCUGCACUGGAAGCACAGAGUCUUAACCACUGGACCACCAGGGAAGUCCCUGAAUUUUUAAUAUAAUGGGAUUAAUUUAAAGAUAUCUGUGAAAUGGUUUAUUCUUUGAGAAGAUCCUAUAACAUAUAUCAUUAAUUUUUUGAGAUAUAUAGAUUUCAGUAAUUUUUUCAUCCUAACAAAAGACUUUUAGAAGGAAACAGUGAAGUAAAUGAAACUGUCUUAUAUUCUUCUACCUGAGGAGGAAAACUUGGAAAAAACAUAAUUUUUAUAAAUGAAAAGUUUUGAGAUAUGUAAUAUAAAAAGUUUUUAUAAAUCAGGAAAAGAUGGAAGGGCUAAGCCAUGGUUUGACAACUCACAAAAGAAAAAAAAUCAAUAAUGUGUCAGACUGUUUUCCAAAGUUGGCCACAACAAUAUCUCCCAGCUCACAUGUUCUUCUACAACGUGAUGUUACUCUGUCAUCAGAAGGUGGCAUCUCUCCACUUUCUUGAAUUUGGGCAGGGCCUUUGAGUGCUUCAACCAAGAGAAUACGGUAGAAGUGAUGCGUCCCAAUUCCAGGUGUGGCUUUUACCUUGCCCGACUUCUGUUUCCUGCCUCUUGGAAGCCAGCCACUACAUAAGAAAUCCAUUUACCCU